AUUGAACGCUGGCGGCAGGCCUAACACAUGCAAGUCGAGCGGAUGAAGGGAGCUUGCUCCUGGAUUCAGCGGCGGACGGGUGAGUAAUGCCUAGGAAUCUGCCUGGUAGUGGGGGAUAACGUCCGGAAACGGGCGCUAAUACCGCAUACGUCCUGAGGGAGAAAGUGGGGGAUCUUCGGACCUCACGCUAUCAGAUGAGCCUAGGUCGGAUUAGCUAGUUGGUGGGGUAAAGGCCUACCAAGGCGACGAUCCGUAACUGGUCUGAGAGGAUGAUCAGUCACGCUGGAGCUGAGACGCGGUCCAGACUCCUACGGGAGGCAGCAGUGGGGACUAUUGGACAAUGGGCGAAAGCCUGAUCAAGCCGUGCAGCGUGUGUGAAGAAGGUCUUCGGAUGGUAAAGCACUUUAAGUUGGGAGGAAGGGCAGUAAGUUAAUACCUUGCUGUUGUGACGUUACCAACAGAAUAAGCACCGGCUAACUUCGUG
rnacentral:rRNA from 1 species